AUCCCUUUGUCGUUUAUAAGUGUGAUGAUUGGGUUUUCAUGUUCCUGUGUGAGAUAUGCCUCCUUCAAGCCUUGUUAUGAUGUCUGCACAUUACCUGCCUGUCA
rnacentral:snoRNA from 2 species